UCCUACGGGAGGCAGCAGUGGGGAAUAUUGCACAAUGGGCGAAAGCCUGAUGCAGCCAUGCCGCGUGUGUGAAGAAGGCCUUCGGGUUGUAAAGCACUUUCAGCGAGGAGGAAAGGUUAGUAGUUAAUAACUGCUAGCUGUGACGUUACUCGCAGAAGAAGCACCGGCUAACUUCGUGCCAGCAGCCGCGGUAAUACGAGGGGUGCAAGCGUUAAUCGGAAUUACUGGGCGUAAAGCGUGCGUAGGUGGUUUGUUAAGCAAGAUGUGAAAGCCCUGGGCUCAACCUGGGAACUGCAUUUUGAACUGGCAAGCUAGAGUUUUGUAGAGGGUAGUGGAAUUUCCAGUGUAGCGGUGAAAUGCGUAGAGAUUGGAAGGAACAUCAGUGGCGAAGGCGGCUACCUGGACAAAGACUGACACUGAGGCACGAAAGCGUGGGGAGCAAACAGGAUUAGAUACCCUGGUAGUCCACGCCGUAAACGAUGUCAACUAGCCGUCUGUAGACUUGAUCUGUGGGUGGCGUAGCUAACGCGYUAAGUUGACCGCCUGGGGAGUACGGCCGCAAGGUUAAAACUCAUGGAAAUUGACGGA
rnacentral:rRNA from 1 species